AGCACGGUGGCUGGGUAAGCGAGCGCGCCUUUGACGCGCGCAUAUUGCGCGGCUGCACGCUCGCGAUCGUCGGCGAGCCGUGUGA
rnacentral:tRNA from 1 species